rnacentral:rRNA from 1 species
CCUACGGGAGGCUGCAGUGAGGAAUAUUGGUCAAUGGCCGGAAGGCUGAACCAGCCAAGCCGCGUGAGGGAGGAAGGCGCAGAGCGUCGCAGACCUCUUUUGCCGGGGGACAAAAGGCCGGACGGGUCCGGUUCUGAGGGUACCCGGAGAACAAGCAUCGGCUAACUCCGUGCCAGCAGCCGCGGUAAUACGUAGGUGGCAAGCGUUAUCCGGAUUUACUGGGUGUAAAGGGCGUGUAGGCGGGAAAGCAAGUCAGAUGUGAAAACCAUGGGCUCAACCUGUGGACUGCGUUUGAAACUGUUUUUCUUGAGUACUGGAGAGGCAGACGGAAUUCCUGGUGUAGCGGUGAAAGGCGUAGAUAUUAGGAGGAACACCAGUGGCGAAGGCGGUCUGCUGGAAAGCAACUGACGCUGAGGCGCGAAAGCGUGGGGAGCAAACAGGAUUAGAUACCCGGGUAGUC